rnacentral:rRNA from 1 species
ACGGGGGGGGCAAGCGUUGUUCGGAAUUACUGGGCGUAAAGGGCCCGUAGGCGGCCAACUAAGUCGGAUGUGAAAUCCCCAGGCUCAACCUGGGAACUGCAUCCGAUACUGGAUGGCUUGAAUCCGGGAGAGGGAUGCAGAAUUCCAGGUGUAGCGGUGAAAUGCGUAGAUAUCGAGAGGAACACCUGAGGUGAAGACGGGUUGCUGGGCCGACACUGACGCUGAGUGCGCGAAAGCCAGGGGAGCAAACGGGA